GAUCACUCUUUCUAAGGAAGAACCUUAAUGGAACGCUCAUCUGAUGAGCCUCUGCCUUUUGGUUCUCUUGGAACAAGACGGCAAAGAGUCACUUUGACCGUCGCGCAUACCUUAAGCGGGUCUGCCGCCUUCGUUUCUCUUUCUUCAGCGAAUGACUUUGACUUGCGCUCGCGCGCCGUACCGGCCUUCGGCCUGGCGCUCCGCGAGGGCGCGGCACGAGCCGCGACGGCCGGUUGGCCUUGCGAGACGUGCGUCUCGUUGGCGAGAGCCGAAUUAACGGCGCAAGCUAUGGGCUUGUAGCUCAGUUGGUUAGAGCGCGCGCUUGAUAAGCGUGAGGUCGGAGGUUCAAGUCCUCCCAGGCCCACCAUCUCCUCGAUAUCUAUGGGGAAACAAUCAGGGGCCGUAGCUCAGCUGGGAGAGCGCCUGCUUUGCAAGCAGGAUGUCGUCGGUUCGAUCCCGUCCGGCUCCACCACUCGCGCAAUCCGCAGGAUUGUCGCAUCUUCCCUGGAAGAGGUGUCGAGUAGAGAUGAAGGGAAAAGUCAUUCGUAAAAAGGUUUGUGGUGAGCAUCUAGCUUGCCGCUUGUUCUGGUUUGACAUUGUAAAGAGAAGAUUUGUUCGAACUUCAUGAGCUUGAAAAGGUUUGUGCAUGUCGCGGGAAACGCUCAAUCUCCCGCAUAUGAUGGGCUUGCGUAACGACCCUCGAACGAUCUCGAGAAGCUGGUCUUUUUGUGCCAAUGAAAUCGAAUUGGGUCCCGCACAGGAUCCGGUUCAGGCGACAAUCCUUCGGGAUUGCGCGGGAGGGCAUUGGCAAUGAGAACGAUCAAGUGUCUUAAGGGCAAUUGGUGGAUGCGACUCGCAUGACACAGGCGAUG
rnacentral:tRNA from 1 species